rnacentral:lncRNA from 1 species
UAACAAAAAAAAAAUUCUUUUAAUUUCAUGAACAUUGAUAAAAUAGAAAUUUUAUUAUUAUCACUGCACCAAAUACAUCCCUGAUCAGCGUGCUUCAAUGCACCGUUAGGUCCAAUGAGCUAAACAAGUAAAUUAUAAGAUACAACCAUAACCAUAAGGCAGACAACAAAGACUACCAUGAGCUUCCCUUGGUUCCUCAUCAUACCCCUGUUGCUACACACAUAUAUGCUACUUUCGGCCUCUCACUGUUGGUGUUGACUUCUUGUUGUUGCAAUGUUGUAGAACUCUCUGGUGAUCCCUGGACUUGCUUCCCUGCCAUGACUCCAAUUAGCCCAGCUGCUACUGACCUGCAAUGCUACUCGAUUGAAUUACAUUAGUGUAUCUCAUCCUUGCACUAACCACUCGAUCGGGGGGGGGGGGUUCCAGUAUGGACAGGUGACUAGGGUUCUAGUUGCAACUUUUUUCUAGUAGCACAGGUUGCAACUCUGUUCGUUGCACUUGUUACGGAAAGUUGACCUCUUCCAAAUUGCCUCCUUCUACUGCUUUGCAAUAACGAAGAAACAAAAUAUGUUUUGCAGUUAUAAAUUAACUUUGCUUCCAUUAUGCAUCACCAUUUCAUGUUCCCUGAACCUGUUAUAAUUUGAGCAACACUCUCAAAUCCCAUAUAUCAAAUGAAAUCUACUUCUCAUUGAAGAAAAAGUCUAAGACAAAAGGCAAAAUAAAAAAAUCAUCACUAAUGUAAAAGGGGGGAAACCCAAAUACUUGAUCUGCCUUAUAACCCCAAAUCAAUGUUGCUUCCUGGUAGAACAAAAUAAAAUUAAAAAUGGGAAAAUUGGCGAUAACCCCCCACAUUUUGACCAGGUUUGGCAAAAACCCCUUAAUUGUGCCAAAUUUGGCGUAAACCCCCCAACCCCCUAUUUUAUGGACAACUUUUCCCAUUAUACCCUUGGGUCAAAGUAUUUGCCUAAACCCCAAAAUAUAAGAUAACAGAAGUUAUUGGACUGAAGGAAGGGUGGUUAGAAUAACCUGUAUUAGCCUAAACACCCGGCAGUAAAAAUAACAUAAAAUUAAAAAAACAAAUCUUACCAAAACUGAAGCAUCUUCUCGAUCUUUCUCAGUCUCAUUUUUUCUCACUCUUCUGCAACUCAUCCAAGAAAAAGAAGAAGAGAGGAAGAAGAACAAGAGUAAAAAUUUUGAUUUUUUUUUUUUAAGAAUUUUUAAUUCUAAUUUAGUUAGAAAGAAAUGGAUAAACUUUUUUGUAAUUCUUCAACAACCAUUCAAGCUUCACCACCAGCUUACCAUGGCAAGAAACGAUACCAACUUCCAUUAAAACAACCCAUCUUGAAGUUAAAACCACCUGGAAAAGUGUUAGUAGUUUAAAAGGCUACCAAAAAGCGACAAAAUUGAUUGAUAUUGAUUAAGAAGAAGAACAGUGAAGAGAUUCUUGGAAGAUCUUGAUUUGAAAGUGAUGGUGGUUUGGAAAAAGAAUCGAUUGAUUCAACAAUUGUUUUUAUUCACCUAAUUUGAAAGGUGGUUGGGGAGUUCAUUUUGUUCAGAGGUUAAAUUGUUGGCAAAGAAGAUGAUCGAGUGAGUUGCCAUUAACGAGCUCGUCGAUUUUGGAUUGCAAAGGUAAUCUGUCUUUUGGGGGUAAGACACAAAACAGUUGUUUCCAUCAAGCAUAACACACUAUGUCGAUCUCCGCAAACUAAUUUGGUCAAAGUAUAUCUGGUAUGGUAUAGCAUGAACUCUCAUUUGAAGUUCAUUUCUUCGAUCUCUCGUUUGUUUACGUAGAAAACACUAAUGGUGGAUAUUUCAAUUCAUCUAUCAAUUCUGAAACCAUUAGCUGUCAUAAUUGAUAUGUCAUGGUAGUCUAUCAAAUGGUCAUGGUGAUUUCAAUUCCUCAUACUUCUGUUGCUUCUUCUUCCCCAUUAAUCAAUAAUUAAAAAUAUAUGGUAAUUUAAAUCAUCAAUUUUAAUUUAUUUGAUGGAAGAGAGAAGAAGACCUCAAAUGAUAUUUUAUCAACUGUUAGAUGGUUGACACGUGGAUCUGGUAGUGAGUAAAUUUUUAUUUUUAUGUUAAUGUUUUUUUUAUUUAAGAAAAUAAGAAUUCCGUUAUCAGAAACUAACUUCUAUCUGUUAACUUUUGUUUAGGAAUUAAGAAGUGGGGAGAUAAGUUUUGUGGAAUUUUAAUGGAGAGUGAUUGGGGUUUAAGAGAAUGAGGAAGAAUGGAAUGGGAAUAGAGAUGAUAACGUGGAUUUGAUGAUAAGAGGUAUUGAGCUGAAAUGGGCAUUGUGGGGUUUUGGGUUUAAGGGAGAAGAAGAAGAUUACAUAGAAAGAUGUGGUUUUGUAAUGGAGAAUGAGGGAAUCAGCAACAAUGGUGCUGGUUCUCUUUUGUUUGGGCCGAACGAGCCGAACGAGCCAAACGAUCCAAACGAGCCAGCGAGCCGAAACGAGCCGAGCUCGAGUUUUACUAUUGGCUCGCGAGUCGAGCUCGAGCUCAUAGUUCAGCUCGAUCUUAAUUUUAAGCUCGGCUCGGUUAGUAACGAGCCGAGCUCGAGCAUACCUUAACUCGGCUCGAGCGGCUCGAAUAGCCCCCCUACUUUUGUUAAAUCUUUUUGGGGGUUUAGGCAAAUACUUUGACCCAAGGGUAUAAUGGGAAAAGUUGUCCAUAAAAUAGGGGGUUGGGGGGUUUACGCCAAAUUUGGCACAAUUAAGGGGUUUUUGCCAAACCUGGUCAAAAUGUGGGGGGUUAUCGCCAAUUUUCCCAUUAAAAAUCAUUAACGAAAUUUCUCAAAUCCCCAACUAAAUUAUAAAGGAAGAAGAACCAAUCUACAAACUAGAUAUCAAUGAGGUAGCUAGAGAUUCACAACUUUAAAAAUCAAAUCUUUGACCUUAAAAAAUAACAUAGUAAAAAAAAUGAGAAAUUACAUGAUUUGAAGUAAAGGUCUCACCUUUGAGUAGAUGGAGAUGUGGAAAUGAAUAAAAUGAAGAAAACUUUUGUAAAAGAAAGAGAAAAAUAACCUAUUAAAUAUGAAAUCCCUAAAUUCCAAUGAAGAAUGAGUAAAAUCUUUAAUAAAGUGAAUAAAGUUUGAAACUUGAACUAAUUCAUAUAAAGAUGAAGUACUUAAUUGAGGCUUGAGAACUCCAGAUUUGUAGAUGAACCAUGCCAGCGUUGGAACUACUAAGAAGUCUUCUAAACUUCUACCAACGAAGAGAAAUAUGGAUAAAAGACAUAUCUCAUAGUUUCUAACUUUGUAUAGUGGUUUAGGGAAAUGUAGAGAUGGGUUAGGGCUC